AGAUUGCAGGCAAUCUAGCCAUGGCAUCUGUCACCCCAUUGAUCACCAGGGUUGACUCGACUUAUCUGGCUGACUAAGCAGGUGUCUCUUUUCUCCCUCAUCACUCUAUGUGCAUCCUUCCUGAAGCUUCACACUCAAAGAGGAUGACCAUCCCUUCUGGAGGAAGACUAUUCUUCGGCCAAGGGUGUACAAGUAGAUUGCUUCCCUGGUAGAACCUCUGAUCAAGCCCUCAAGAAAAGGCACCUACAAAAGCUAUUAUGAUUGUAAUCUUUGAGAUGAAUAUUCCAAGACUAUGAACUAUGCAAGCCAGAGUUUAAAAACAU
rnacentral:snRNA from 1 species